AUUGAACGCUGGCGGCAGGCCUAACACAUGCAAGUCGAGCGAGCGGCGGACGGGUGAGUAAUGUCUGGGAAACUGCCUGAUGGAGGGGGAUAACUACUGGAAACGGUAGCUAAUACCGCAUACCAUCAGAUGUGCCCAGAUGGGAUUAGCUCGUAGGUGGGGUAACGGCUCACCUAGGCGACGAUCCCUACCUGGUCUGAGAGGAUGACCAGCCACACUGGAGCUGAGACACGGGCCCGACUCCUGCGGGAGGCAGCAGUGGGGAAUAUUGCACAAUGGGCGACAGCCUGAUGCAGCCAUGCCGCGUGUGUGAAGAAGGCCGUCGGGUUGUAAAGCACUUUCAGCGGGGAGGCGUUACCCGCAGAAGAAGCACCGGCUAACUCCGUGCCAGCCGCCGCGGUAAUUC
rnacentral:rRNA from 1 species